GACGAACGCUGGCGGCGUGCCUAAUACAUGCAAGUUGAGCGCUGAAGGUUGGUACUUGUACCAACUGGAUUAGCAGCGGACGGGUGAGUAACGCGUGGGGAAUCUGCCUUUGAGCGGGGGACAACAUCUGGAAACGAAUGCUAAUACCGCAUAAAAACUUUAAACACAAGUUUUAAGUUUGAAAGAUGCAAUUGCAUCACUCAAGAAUUAUCUCGCGUUGGAUUAGCUAGUUUGGGAGGUAAAGGCUCACCAAGGCGAUGAUACAUAGCCGACCUGAGAGGGUGAUCGGCCAAAUUGGGACUGAGACACGGGCCAAGACUCUACGGGAGGGAGCAGUAAGGGAACUUCGGCAAUAGACGGAAGGCUGACCGGGGAACGGCGGGUGGGGGAAGGAGGUUUUCGGAUCGUAAAACUCUGUUGGUAGAGAAGAACGAUGGUGGGAGUGAAAAGCUCAUAAAGUGACGGUAACUACCCAGAAAGGGACGGCUAACUACGUG
rnacentral:rRNA from 1 species